AAACCAGCACCUCAAGUGGUCAGGAUGAUUAUUGGGCCUAAAGCAUCCGUAGCCGGCUCUGUAAGUUUUCGGUCAAAUCUGUACGCUCAACGUACAGGCUGCCGGGAAUACUGCAGAGCUAGGGAGUGGGAGAGGUAGACGGUACUCGGGAGGAAGGGGUAAAAUCCUUUGAUCUCUCGAUGACCACCUGUGGCGAAGGCGGUCUACCAGAACACGUCCGACGGUGGGGGAUGAAAGCUGGGGGAGCAAACCGGAUUAGAGACCCGAGUAGUCC
rnacentral:rRNA from 1 species